CGUCUCUCUCUCAUCACCCCUCUCCUCGCCAGUCAGCUCACACACCCGCUCUCACCGCCACGACUCUCAGGACCCAAACCUUCUCUGUCCCUUAAGAGAGGUGGCCAGAGCGGAAGGAUUAGUUAGAGUUCAUGUUCCCUUUUCCCUCCAAGAUCUCUCUCAAAUAGGAAAGCUAUUAGGCUCCUUUUCUGCCAGCUCCUCCCGCUACAUCAAAGAAUUUCGCUACCUCUCUCAAGCUUACGAUCUAACCUGGCACGACAUCUUUGUGAUCCUAUCUUCUACUCUGACCCCCGACGAGAGGGAAAGAAUUCAAACUGCUGCCCGAAACAACGCAGAUCAGGUCCACCUCACUGAUUAUGCCCGUCGGAGCCACUGCCGUUCCUGGCACCGAUCCGGGCUGGAGUUAGCAGCCAAGACGGUCGCCGCAAACGCGAUCUAAUGAUCCAGUGCCUCUUGGCUGGUUUGCAGGCUGCCUCCCGCAAGAUUGUCAACUUCGAAAAGCUAAAAGAGAUAACCCAAGAGCCCAAUGAAAAUCCAGCCGUUUUUCUCAACCGUCUUACAGAGGCCCUAACUCUCUACACCCGCUUGGACCCUGACACCCCGGCAGGCGCAACAGUCUUGGCCACCCACUUUAUCACCCAAUCAGCCCCUGAUAUCAGGAAAAAACUUAAGCGGGCAGAGGACGGCCCCCAGACUCCCAUCCGAGACCUGGUAAAAAUGGCCUUUAAAGUCUAUAAUGCCCGUGAGGAUUUGGCAGAAUCCAGCCGACAGGCUCGGAUGCACCAAAAGGUGGCCCUCCAAACCCAAGCCCUCGUAGCCACCCUGCGGCCGGCCAUCUCCCAUGGACACCAUCCAUGGGACCUGCCGAAGGCAACCCCACCAGGUGCCUGCUUCAAGUGCGGAAAAGAGGGGCACUGGGCUCGCCAAUGUCCCAAUCCCCGGCCUCCUUCCAAGCCCUGCCCUGGCUGUGGGCUAAGAGGCCAUUGGAAAAGUGACUGCCCUAUGGCCGGCCCUCCCUCAGCGCCUCCACGUGGAAGGCGGACCGACCCGACGGCUCCACCACUCGAACUCCUGGGACUGGCUGACGACUGACAACACCCGGACUCGAAGACCCCCAUCACCCUCGCCGAGCCCAGGGUAAUGCUACAGGUAGCGGGGCCAUCUUUCUCCCUAUGGUCGCAGGCAUUUCCCUCGCCUCCCCUCUCGUCGCUGCGGCCAUCGGGGGAGGAGCCCUAACACACAGUGUCUCAACAUCCCGCGACCUAGAACAGAAACUCCAGCUAGCCAUCGAGGCCUCUGCCACCUCCAUCACCUCCCUCCAGCGCCAGAUCACCUCAGUAGCCCGAGUUGCCCUCCAAAAUCGACGCGCCCUGGACCUUCUGACAGCCGACAAAGGAGGUACCUGCCUCUUCCUACAGGAAGAGUGCUGCUACUACAUCAGCGAGACAGGGGUCGUUGAAGACAAUGUAGAUGCUCUCCGACGCUUAAAAGAAGAACUCCAACGCAGGCAGCGACAAUCCACCUCCCCCAUCCCCGAUUGGUGGCGGUCCACCCUCUAUACCUGGCUGACACCAAUCCUAGGCCCCUAAAUCCUUAUCUGCAUCCUAUUCAUGCUUCCCCCCUGUUUCCUCAGGGUUCUCCGCAGCCGUAUACAAGAAGUCUCUCGGGUGGCGGUAAAUCAGAUGCUCCUCCACCCAUAUACCUUACUACCCAUAGAACCCCCCGCGGCCGUCCUCCCCUAACCUCCGGACCGCUGGCCUCCCGACUCCCUUCCGGCACCCCCGUACAGCAGGAGGUAGCCAGAGACCAAACGUCGCCCCAUUACAGCAAAGAAGUCGGGAUGUAAGGCCAGCAGGUCCGGGGAAGGGCCCAGGGAGCCAGACGCAACCCCCGCCAAAGUGGCUGAUGCAACCGACACCUGACAUUGCCACAACACCCGAGAGAUUACCAAAAAAGGGCUGCUUCACACAGCAAGCACCUCCCCUGCGUCCGCCCCUAUAAAUUUUGUUCGUGCCUGCACCGGGUCGCGACUUCUCUGGCCCCUUUCUCUAGGACCAGUGAACCUCGCCCGGGAGCAUUCCCAAAUAAAGCUUGUUUAAGCUCUCCUCCGUUUUUGGUGCCGUUCCUUACAUGAACCAGGUUUCCUCCUACUCCUCUUUCACCUGCCAGGUUCAAGAAACUGACUGGACAUUCUUUCCACGUGGGCUAUAGUAUGGCAAUUUUGAAUGGCAUUGUAACUGCUCUUAGUGUAGCUCGGUGCCUCAUGUAAACCCACACAGAAGCAAUAUUCUUGACAAAACUUAGUUAUGAUUGCUUUGUAAUAACAGGGAAGAACAUCAUUGCCUACUCAGAAGACCAAGAAACCUGCUCCUCAUUAUGUGGUUCAGAUAUGUGUCAUAUCAUCAUCAUUAUGGAGGACCUCCUAAGCAUCGUUCUAGAGCCUAGGCAUUGGGAAUAUCUAAGUAUUAAGUUUCAAGUAAUGCUUAAAAGUGUAAGAUGUUUACCUCAUCUUUUUACUUUUGUGUGCAUUGUCCUUAUAAGUUGUAGAAAACAUUUUAAUGGAACUCAAACUCGAAAACUUGGAUGCAGAACAUCCUGUAUCAAUGCCUGCCUUUCCAUGUAUAUGUAUAUACUACAGUUUUUGCUAAGAAAUACUGAUAGUACUGUUUGAGAUAGAAAUAUUUCUUAUUUAUUCAUUAUAUUAGGAAAGCAAACAAUGCCUACUACUUUGACAUUUUACAGAAGCUACUUUUAAAUCAGAAUAUUUAGUUUUCGAUAUAUAGAAGGUGCAUUUAUAUUUUUUAAUGGGCUAUGGUUCUUUAUGUGUUUUUUUACAUAUUUUCCUACUAUAUCUUGAAUUUGUAUGUUUUUAAAUUGUUACAUCUAGGCAAAUGUAAAUGUUAAUUUUUAGCUCGUGCAAACCUUAAUACCGACCAUUUUUAAUAAGUAUUUUGUCUUUUAAGAAAAGCACACUGGCCUGAGUUUAAAACUAAGUAAACUUAUUAAAAAAAAAAAAAACUGAAAAAAGUUUAAUUAUUUAAGCCAUGAAAAUAGUCAGGAAAUUUAAAGCUAUUCACUAUUUCCCUUUUCACAAUUCCAAAUAUUUAUCAUGGUGUAUAUAUGAUUACUUCAACAAAACUGAUAUUAUCUUGUUUUUAAUAAAUAUAAACCUGAAAUUUUUAUGUUUAGAAAUGCUUGAACUAGUUUGUUUUUAAUCUCCAAAAUUUGGUUACCAAAAUAGAAAAGGUAUUUUGAUACAGUGUGUACAUGUAUAAUUUUUUAAUGUAUAGUUUCCUUAUUUUCCUAUUUAAAUGUUCUUUUGUAAUUGUGCUGUUUUGUUUUUUCAUAGUAAUUAAGCCUUAAUUGUUCCCACUUCCUUUCUAAAUACCUGUUUAGAACAGUCACUUCAAUUUUAGAAAGAUGGACUAUUUUAAAUACUGUUUUCCCUGGCCACAGAAAAACCUACAUUAGGAUAGCAUUGUGGAGCAAAAACACAAUGCUUAUUCAGGCCAAAUGGGGAAUGAGUAUCUGCAGCGUGUUCCUGUUAUCUGCUGAUUGUUGUUACUGAGUAAAUGAUUUAAUAAUGUUUCAAUAAAUAAAUAAAUAAAUAAAUAAAGUGACUUCAUGACGGGGUCAUGAAUACUAAUCUUAACCCAAACCCAAAAGAUGAUCCCAAAUCACAACCUCAGCCUACUUCUCUCACAGUUCCUACCAGAGCUGUAGUUCAGGUUUGGGCUUUUUUUUUUUU